rnacentral:rRNA from 1 species
CACGUAGGGCGCAAGCGUUGUCCGGAACUAUUGGGCGUAAAGAGCUCGUAGGCGGUCUGUUGCGUCUGCUGUGAAAACCCGGGGCUUAACCCCUGGCUUGCAGUGGAUACGGACAGACUAGAGGUAGGUAGGGGAGAAUGGAAUUCCCGGUGUAGCGGUGAAAUGCGCAGAUAUCGGGAGGAACACCGGUGGCGAAGGCGGUUCUCUGGGCCUUACCUGACGCUGAGGAGCGAAAGCGUGGGGAGCGAACAGG